UACAGAGGAUGCAAGCGUUAUCCGGAAUGAUUGGGCGUAAAGCGUCUGUAGGUGGCUUUUUAAGUCCGCCGUCAAAUCCCAGGGCUCAACUCUGGACAGGCGGUGGAAACUACCAAGCUGGAGUACGGUAGGGGCAGGGGGAAUUUCCGGUGGAGCGGUGAAAUGCGUAGAGAUCGGAAAGAACACCAGUGGCGAAGGCGGCUACCUGGACAGGUACUGACGCUGAAGCGCGAAAGCUAGGGGAGCAAACAGG
rnacentral:rRNA from 1 species